CAGAGAGAAACAAACACAGCGAAGAUUUGAUCCAGACAGCUACGGGGAUCGCUUUCCACACAAAGAGUGUGAGACGGUAGGAGGGGAAAAAAAGAUAAAACAUUUUAAACAGAAAUGUGUUGUCUCCCAAUAGACCAGACUUUGCCUCCAGCAGGCGACUCUAUUAGCGUCCAGGGAUCAGAGCCCUGCUCCGGGGCACAGAUGCUUGCUUCACGUCUGAGAUGGAUUGGAGAUCAGUUGGAAAAAGGCAAGGCUAUUGGGGACCGGGGCUCAAGUAAGAGCGCACCGAGAAACAGAAAAGUCUUGAUUCGAGGCUUUUACACCGUAUGCACAGCGAUACAGAUUACCGCCUUUUUGCUGCUUGUUAGAAGGCGACACCUGUAGGCGCACUUUCCUUUGCAACAGCGAAACCAGCAACAGAUGGUGCCUUCAGGACCCUGGUCAAGGAGGGAGAAUGGACAGCUCUAAGAAUAUAUUUGCACUGAGGAAACUUAUACCAGCACUGACCGAUUUUAGAGCAAAGUCACUCGGAAAUCUGACAAGUGUCCACGUACGUUUCACGGGCGUAUUUUUCAUGCCAUCAAAUCCGCGGAACCGGUCAAUAUCAUUGGAGGCAUUGACCCGUCAGGUUGACUCGGUCUACACCUGUCAAACUUGAGUUGCCUUCAAACGAUUGUUUAAUAUCAUUAUCAUCGUAAUCAUCAGCUACUGGUGUGCGUUCUGCAUUUCAUUUACAGUAGAUACAGUAACAACCGCUGCCUACAAAAAACGUCAAUACAUCAAUCAGUUGUCAUUUUAUUGAUACACAAAUGUGCUACACCAAUAAAACAUUUUAUACCGCAACUGUGUUUCAAGAUAGGUCCAUGUUGUUUGGCUUAUCGCAUAAAGCCAAAUAAGUCCAUGCGGAGAUCACUUGAAGCUACCUGUAUCAUACUGGCAACAACAGGAAUAGUAGGUUGAUGUCACCGUCCCUUGACGGUUGCCGAAGGGAAAAACUUACUAAUAUCGCUACUGGAUCCUGGCGUAUCAGACAGCUUAGUCGAGUUAAAUCCAGCGUCCAUUACGUUUUUUAAAAAAAUCAGUAAACACGGAAUAGUGAAAAUGUACAGCAAACGUAAUUCUAAGCAAAAAAUACAUUUGGAAGUUCACGUAAACGUUUUGACAAAUAAAAUGUGAUCUGAAGUUAUCAUUUCAAAGAGAAUGCUUUAUUCUAUUGCACUGCACAUAAUGAAAUAAGCUACUACUAAUUGAACAUGCCCCCCCCCCCCCCCCCUCCCCCACGUUUGAGGACAAGGAGGUCAUAAAUGCAUUCAUUUUUACUGUAAUUUAAUGAAUCUGAAAUAUUAAGUCGAGGAGGAUGUGUCAAAUGCAAACGAUGUUGCUUGACAAUUGUGAUUCUGAUUACUGAAAUGUUUAUACAUACAGUUCUAUUUUCUAGAACUUUUGUAAAGGGCUUUUGAGCUCAACUUUUGUAGCAGUGUUACCAUAGAUGGCUUUCCUUCAGUCCUACAAGAAUAAUAGUAAAGAGCAUGUUGCAGCUAUUUACAUAAGCUAUGUUUUUGUAUCAUUGCAGAAUUGUGGUUUUCAUUGCAGUUAUGAAUUUGUGUGUUUUUAUAAAUGUGCUAUGAGAUGCUAUUAGACUACCUAUCUUGUGAGAUCUGUGACAAUUUUAGAAAAUAAAACUUUCUUUACUACA